UACGUAGGGUGCGAGCGUUAAUCGGAAUUACUGGGCGUAAAGCGUGCGUAGGCGGUCUGUCGCGUCGGCUGUGAAAUCCCGAGGCUCAACCUCGGGUCUGCAGUCGAUACGGGCAAACUAGAGUAUUGCAGGGGAGACUGGAAUUCCUGGUGUAGCGGUGAAAUGCGCAGAUAUCAGGAGGAACACCGGUGGCGAAGGCGGGUCUCUGGGCAAUAACUGACGCUGAGGAGCGAAAGCGUGGGGAGCGAACAGG
rnacentral:rRNA from 1 species